ensembl:lncRNA
AGGAGAAUCCCUUAGAACUAGGCUAGGAACUAUUAACAAAAGCAAUACACAGGUGGAUCAUCUAAAAGAAAGCAUCUGAACCAAAACCUACCUCCAAACAUAAGUUAGCUGCUUGCUUUUACGCAUACAUACAGAAGGAGGUCAGGCUAGGUAUCGAACAGGAACAUGUGAAUACGUCAUAUAUGAGCAUAAAAGAUUAAGUGCACUGCAGGAAGAAGAAAUGGGAGCAGACAAAUGUGAAUGUUGGGUUUGCAAAGAAGGAGGUUUUGUUGUCAACAAUGCCGAAAGAUAGAAGCACAUCUCACUGAAAUCCUUAGGUUGCACAACAACUCCUUCUAAAGCAAAUGACAAAAAUCUCAGUAACUUCAACUAUAAGUGACAAGCAGUAUGACACUGCUAGACUGUGCAUUAUUGAUUUUAUCACAACUUGUGGAUUGUGAAGUGCCAUCACCUCCUUAGACAAGCAUUGGAAAAGGAGACAUGUUCAGUUAUGUUGCAGGCAGUCUGCAGUGUGCUGAUGGCUGCCUGCUUCUGAGCUCUCCCUCACCAGCUGUGCAGCUGUGUGCCCCAGGAAAGUACUUUGAGAGCAAUCCAUUUUCCAGAAAUCGACUUUUCCAUUCUUCAGAGUUUAUCAUUAUACAUAAUUUUGAGCAGGAGUUCAUUUUGGACUGAGAACUUCCAAGUCACCACUUCAGGUGGCUUGGUUUGGUCUGGAAGAUGUCAGAAGAAUGCUUCCUAAACCAAGUGUCUGUAAUGUGAGGGCAGUUCCAGCUGAAGUAGUGCAGCUCUCACUGUGACAGGUGGGAUUCUUCUACCCAGUACAAACCCAUUCAGGCUCUGUAAAGUCAGUACGUGUAUCAUUCAUACCUACAAUACUCCCAAGAUUGAUGUAAUUUAUAUACAGACCAAUUUUACCUUGCAGCCCCAUUCUAUAAUGCUCUAAUGAUGUGAUGCUGCCCUGGAUGGAUACUUGUAAAUAAUCCUUAAAAAAUGAUAAAGAGUUUAUCAAAGGAUUAAGAGUAGUUUAAUAUUGGGCUUGAAAGUAGCAAGCUGCUGUUGUUUAAAUGUCAGUGAGUCUGUAGAACAGUACCUAUCUUUUUUCUAAUAGGCUUGUGCUAUUUUACAGGUGGAAGCUGGACAGUUUAAACUGAUGCAUAGAAAGAAGUAAAGAUAUUGCUUUGUUUUAAC